AGAACGAACGCUGGCGGCAGGCCUAAUACAUGCAAGUCGAGCGCCCAGUAAUGGGAGCGGCGGACGGGUGCGUAACACGUGGGAACGUACCCUUUGGUUCGGGAUAACUCAGGGAAACUUGAGCUAAUACCGAGUAAGCCCGAGAGGGGAAAGAUUUAUCGCCAAAGGAUCGGCCCGCGUUCGAUUAGCUAGUUGGUGGGUAAUGGCUCACCAAGGCAACGAUCGAUAGCUGGUUUGAGAGAACGACCAGCCACACUGGGACUGAGACACGGCCCAGACUCCUACGGGAGGCAGCAGUAGGGAAUCUUGGACAAUGGGGGAAACCCUGAUCCAGCCAUGCCGCGUGAGUGAUGAAGGCCUUCGGGUUGUAAACUCUUUCGCGCACGACGAUAAUGACGGUAGUGCGAGAAGAGCUCGGCUAACUUCGUGCCAGCAGCCGC
rnacentral:rRNA from 1 species